UGGGGAAUAUUGGUAAUGGGCGAAAGCCUGAACCAGCAACGCCGCGUGAGCGAUGAAGGCCUUCGGGUUGUAAAGCUCUUUUUAUGGGGACGAGGAAGGACGGUACCCAUAGAAUAAGCCUCGGCUAACUACGUGCCAGCAGCCGCGGUAAAACGUAGGAGGCGAGCGUUAUCCGGAUUUACUGGGCGUAAAGCGCGUGCAGGCGGUUUGGAAAGUUGGAUGUGAAAGCUCCUGGCUUAACUGGGAGAGGUCGUUCAAUACUUCCAGACUAGAGGAUGUGAGAGGAAAGCGGAAUUCCGAGUGUAGUGGUGAAAUGCGUAGAUAUUCGGAGGAACACCAGUGGCGAAAGCGGCUUUCUGGCACAUUACUGACGCUCAGACGCGAAAGCUAGGGUAGCAAA
rnacentral:rRNA from 1 species